GUGUCAGCCGCCGCGGUAAAACGUAGGACGCGAGCGUUAUCCGGAUUUACUGGACGUAAAGCGCAUGCAGGCGGCCUUGUAAGUCGGAUGUGAAAUCUCCCGGCUCAACUGGGAGGCGUCAUUCGAUACUGCAAGGCUUGAGGGCAGGAGAGGGGAGUGGAAUUCCCGGUGUAGUGGUGAAAUGCGUAGAUAUCGGGAGGAACACCAGUGGCGAAGGCGGCUCCCUGGCCUGUACCUGACGCUAAGAUGCGAAAGCGUGGGGAGCGAACGGGAUUAGAAACCCCGGUAGUCCACGCCGUAAACGAUGCGGACUAGGUGUGGGAGGUAUUGACCCCUUCCGUGCCGUAGCUAACGCGUUAAGUGCCCCGCCUGGGGAGUACGGCCGCAAGGUUAAAACUCAAAGGAAUUGACGGGG
rnacentral:rRNA from 1 species